AGGGCUUCCCCCCCCAGUAGGUCUGUGCCGUGACCAGCUCUCUGUGCCACCCCUUAGCGCAGCCCGACCAGGCCCACCCAGCUCCAUCUUCAACCUGCUGAGGGAAAACGUGAUCCCAAGCAACGCUGCCGGGCCCUGGCGUGUGCUAAUGUCAGAGCAGAAGUUUGCAGCGUGCCUCUCGCUACGUGAUGCUGUGGGCCGAGCUCACGCAGGACCGUGAAGCCUGCAUGGAUAUCACGGUGCGGUGGAAAGCUAUCACGACACUAAGUCAGCAUGCCAUGACAUAUGUCUAGGAGCAAAGCUGUAGCAUUGUAAAACAAAAAUGUGCCACAAUACCACCUGCAACUCUUGGUAGCAGAGGCUGUGCUACAAGGAGUAGUUACUGAUCGCCGUGCAGCCGUUACACGCUAUUGCAUUACACUAAAAUUGCGUCAUUCUGUGGUGCUGCAAUCUCAGGGAAAAACCACGGCGAGCUGCCAUUCUUUCUUAGAGCAGUAAACAGUUUGUAUUCACUCACAAACUGUGUUUUAAAAUAACUGUUUCUUUUUACAAAUUCGGCUUCUGAAGUAGAUGACUAUAAAUAACUAGUUCUCCUGGGGUUAGUUAACUGCACCUCUCAAGAGAGGUUUUCUUGCUGCUCCAAAAGCAGCUCCCAUACGAUGGCAGCAGAGGGCUGCAGCUGGUUUAAAAGACUUUUCCUUAGUAUUUAUUCAUAUUUUUUUUCCCCGAAAGGCAGUUGUUUGUUUUCGUUUGUUUUGUUUAUUUUUCUGGAACUUUAUUGAAGGAAGAACUUAGUGAAACUGAAAUAGAAACAAAACAAAAAUCAACCCCAAAUAUAAUGAUGUGGCCUCAUCUGAUAACUGCUGCUUAAAUUAAGAGCAAUGAGAGCGGGAAUGCCUUGAUGAUGUAACCACGAUGGUAGUAUUUUUGCUGAAAAGGUGAAUUAGAAAAGUGUACAAAAAUAACGUGCCUCCAAGGCAUUUCUGCGUAGUCUGACUAUUCAGUUGAGCAGCACCAGCUAGGUAGCGCCUAAAGACCUUACGUUGUCCCUGUUUCUUUUUCCAUCUGGGAACGGCUGACUAUCUCUUCACACAAUUGCAUUCUGCCUCUGUAAACCCUUCAGCAAUUCUGUCACACACAGUAAGGUAUCAUUCUCCUCACCCCUGUUGCUGUUUUAGAAUCAUAGAAUCGUUUUGGUUGGAAAAGACCUUGGAGAUCGUCAAGUCCAACUAUUAACCCAGCACCGCCAGGUUCAUUACUAAACCACGGCGCUCCGCUCCGCAUCCAUGCGUUUUUUAAACCCCUCCAGGGAUGGUGACUCCACCAGCUCCCUGGGCAGCCGGUGCCAGGGCUUCACCCUUCCCGUGAAGAGAUUUUUCCUAACGGUUUUGAGGGUUUGCACCCCUGUGUCCUGCCAAAACGAGUUGCAUUUCAGGAAUGCCGGAGUAAAGAAUGUCAGACUGCCCUAUUUGUUUAUUUACACCAAUAUUAGUGUUUCUAGUAGUUCCCAGAUACCACUGCCUGUGGGAAGGGUAUAAUAAAAUGGGAUAUAUAUGGAGUAUCCUCCUCCUGGUGCAGUUUUCUGAAGCCUGACAGUGGUUUGUUUCAGGCUCCUGUGUUUAAUAUGCAGUGGUGGACCUAUAUAAAUACGUAUAACUACGUAGUGAUUGGCAUAAUUAAUGCUAGCAACAGUGACACUGAGUUCCGCAGUUUAAUUGCAUUGUGGGGUAAAAGUAUUAUCUUGUGUUUGUUUUAAAUUGGUUGAAUGAGUGGCAGUGGAAUUUUUUAUUUAUUUAUUUUUUUUGUUUUGUGGCCCUGUAAUCUAGUCAAUGUUUGUAAACCAUUUUGAGAUGAUGGGAUGAAAGCUAAUAAGGAAAAAAGUACGAUUGAGUUAUAAACUAUGGUGAUGGCUCUGCUAAAGUGCUAACAGCUUAUUCUAUGCAUGAGUGGCUUUGCCUUGUGUACCCGGUUUAUCUUUUCCCUGCCUACACUGAACGUGUGAGCAACAUUAAGUAACUUCGGUAAAAAUAUCAGUUCUGGCUCUGGUGUCUGCUACUGUCAAGUGGCAGAAAUGUGGGGGCAGGGAGGGGGGCAACAUUUAAAUGACAAGAGCAGGACUGUGAUGGAGUCAGCUUUUCAAAUACCUGGGGUUUAGACGGCAGACAGUUGCUAGUGGGAUUUUUCCAAAGAGUCCAAGCACAUGAGGCAUCUUGAAUCUGCAGGAAGCUGGCAGGUAGCCGUAAAGUCACUGAAGCAGUGUUUAAGCAUGUAGUUAAAUUCCUCUGCCAUGGUUUUGUAGGCAAGAUCUAAAUCCUUCGUGCUAUUAAAACAGCACAGUUUUCAGUUGUUAUUUCAUUAAUCCCAUGCAUGAUUUUCAGGAAAAACCGCGGGAGAUCCGUGCAAUGGGAAUCAGCACCUGUGUUUAAACGUAGAACUGGGUGCAGAUGGGAAAUAAGAGCGGUUAGAUAGGAAUAUGUUAACAUAGAAGCAAGGAAACUUGUGUGCUUUGGGGUGGGGAGCUGGAGAAGCCCCUGGAGGCCCUGUCCAGCUCCGGAUGAUUCCAGGGUCCCCGAAGGCACUCUGCAGUCUGUCAUGCCUGAACAAAUUGCAUCUGGUUUUGCAAGGGCAGGAUUGUGUCUUGCUCCCCUCCAUCCUGCUCAUGCGCUUACUACUCUGAGGACAGGAGGUGUGUGCCAAGCCAGUGUGUUCAGCCUCCCAAAACUGGCCUUAUAUAUUAUUUAAGGUGUUCUUUUGAUCUUUCUUUUAGAACAUGCGUUCUUCACAUCUUCAGAUCUUCCCUGCCACCCCAAGGGCUAGAUUGAGCAUAAGAGAUGAAAAAAACCUGCUUCUGAGAUGGACACGUGUAUGAUGCUUGCAGUCACCUCAGCAAGUAAUUCCACCCCACCUUGAAAACACCUCUCCCCUGAGCAUCUACUUGCAACUCCUGGACCACAGCCCAUGCCUUAAGUACAGCUCCGUCCUGCCUCUGUGAACAUCCAUCUACCCCGUUGUAUCUCUAACGAGGCUCAGACUUGCCUCUUGCAGGGGAUGAGAAGCAGGACUGAAUCGCUGCAAUUUCUGUGCUGCCUUGGAUGUUUCUACACGAUGCAGCAGCGUGCAAGGCAUCAGCAACAUUACCAUUGGGCUUUCCAGAAUUUCACAACCAACCUCUUCGACUACAAAGCUACGUCCAAAGAAUAUUCAGAAAAGAUUGCUUCCUGCUGACUCGUGAGCUUCCCAGAUGUGAACUUCAAGCGCCCAGAGCCAGACCUCAUGUCAAGAGGUAGGACAGAGUAUUUUUCUUCUCCUCCUUGAAAGGCAGCUUGUAAGUGCCUUGCUUCUUCAGGCUGAGCAGUGGGAGAUGCUGGUCAGAUCCAAACCUUCA